CGGUUUUCCAGUGAAACUGGCACUGGAGUUGAAUGUGGAAGUCUGAGCUGAGUGAACAGGCACAUGAUGCCCAGGAACCAAAGCAGGGAACCCAACAGCAGGGAUUCUGCGAAGUAACCCAAUGCAAUAAAAAUCAAGAUGUGCAAGCAUUGCCCAACAACAUAUAGUUAGUAAUAAACAGAUUCAUCUAACAUGUUAGCCGCUUAUAAAUAGCAGAGUGGUGAAUUCUGAAUCAUGAGGAAAAACGCAAUUUGCCACAAACUGCACUUUACGCUUUAAUGAAAAUUAAAUAGGAUAUCUAAAAUAAAGGGCUUUGUUGCUUAAUAGGUUAAUGAUGUAUAAAAGGUGCUCUAUUUAUUGAACCCUGCUCAGUUUGGUACUCCAAGUUCAGUUGCCAAAAGAACGCGAAUUUGGGAUUAUCCAAUUUACUUGUUAAAAUAACAUCUCUCUCCUUCUAUCUCCUGAUUUGGGAACUAGGAUGAUCAUAUAAGCUACGUGUGGCAAGAUAUUAAAUUUAUGACACAUACCCAACAAGAGCACAGCAGACUCCUGCUUGGCCGAGGUAACACCAAAUGCAUUGCCCUUCUGCAGACUAAGAUGUAGAGCUUGAUUCUCUGCAAUAACACACUGAAGCAACCGCCCCAGUCUUCUGCAUUCCCCUUCCAAAU
rnacentral:lncRNA from 1 species